CCUACGGGUGGCAGCAGUGGGGAAUAUUGGACAAUGGGCGAAAGCCUGAUCCAGCCAUGCCGCGUGUGUGAAGAAGGCCUUCGGGUUGUAAAGCACUUUCAGUGGGGAAGAAAGCCUUGGGGCUAAUACCCUCGAGGAAGGACAUCACCCACAGAAGAAGCACCGGCUAACUCCGUGCCAGCAGCCGCGGUAAUACGGAGGGUGCGCGCGUUAAUCGGAAUUACUGGGCGUAAAGCGCGCGUAGGCGGUCUGAUAAGCCGGUUGUGAAAGCCCCGGGCUCAACCUGGGAACGGCAUCCGGAACUGUCAGGCUAGAGUGCAGGAGAGGAAGGUAGAAUUCCCGGUGUAGCGGUGAAAUGCGUAGAGAUCGGGAGGAAUACCAGUGGCGAAGGCGGCCUUCUGGACUGACACUGACGCUGAGGUGCGAAAGCGUGGGUAGCAAACAGGAUUAGAUACCCCAGUAGUC
rnacentral:rRNA from 1 species